GAACGUUGGCGGCGCGCUUAACACAUGCAAAGUCGAACGCGAAAGAUCUUCGGAUCGAGUAGAGUGGCGCACGGGUGAGUAACACGUGACUAACCUACCUUUUGGCCCGGGAUAACAUGCCGAAAGGCGUGCUAAUACUGGAUGAGACCACGGUCCCUGCGGGGGACUGCGAGAAAAGCAGGGGAGCGAAAGCGCCUUGCACCAGAAGAUGGGGUCGCGGCCUAUCAGCUAGUUGGCGGGGUAACAGCCCACCAAGGCGAUGACGGGUAGCUGGUCUGAGAGGAUGAUCAGCCACACUGGAACUGAGACACGGUCCAGACUCCUACGGGAGGCAGCAGUGGGGAAUUUUGGACAAUGGGCGAAAGCCUGAUCCAGCGACGCCGCGUGUGCGAUGAAGGCCUUUGGGUCGUAAAGCACUGUCAACAGGGACGAAAACUCGGUGGAUAACACCCACCGAGCUUGACUGUACCUGUGGAGGAAGCACCGGCUAACUCUGUGCCAGCAGCCGCGGUAA
rnacentral:rRNA from 1 species